rnacentral:rRNA from 1 species
AUGGCGCACGCGCCCUCGAUGGACUCCACCAAUGGCAAUGUGCGGGACGAGGGAGGGUGCCUCGUUCGUCGUCUUCUGCCCGAGGCCGUCGUGGCGGCGCUCAAGGCCGUCACAGGAGGCGCCCUGCAGGCGGCAAACGGAGGCGGCCACGGGCCGCCGUCUCGCGCUCCGAGCGUCGUUGUCCUCGCUGACCAGGACAUUGAAUCUGGACGGGAAUGA